CAAUGAGAAAUCGAGGAGGGCAUCGGGGGCGCACGUGCUCAGAACUCUGAUUGGAGGAUGGAAGGCACCGGCCCGGGAAAGGACCAAUGAAAAGAAGUACAAUAAAGACACUUUCAUUGAACUCCUCAUUUAUGCCUAUUAUGCAAGGAUGAUGUUCAGCAAACUUUAUGACAGAGGGAAACAGCUGGUAAAGUGGGUUCAUGGAAAGGUGAAGAACUAGCCACAAGGAAUACAAGGGCUAAGCUGAAACCUGCUGCUCCACAUGUUGGAAAGGAAGAAGAAAAGUCAAACACUUAGAGAAAGCCUCCUCAAAUCAACAAAAAGGAGAGAAAAUAGAGAGAGGGGAAGAAACAGAAGAGCCUCUGUUUCAUAGUCUUCCAGGAAUAAGGAUAAAAAAAAAAACAAACCUGACAUAGAACAUGCCUCCUGUCCUAUAAAAAUGAAAUGAAAGAAUGAGUUUAAGCCUUAUAUCU